rnacentral:rRNA from 1 species
UACGUAGGGUGCGAGCGUUAAUCGGAAUUACUGGGCGUAAAGCGUGCGCAGGCGGUUGUGCAAGACAGAUGUGAAAUCCCCGGGCUUAACCUGGGAACUGCAUUUGUGACUGCACGGCUAGAGUACGGUAGAGGGGGAUGGAAUUCCGCGUGUAGCAGUGAAAUGCGUAGAUAUGCGGAGGAACACCGAUGGCGAAGGCAGUCCCUUGGACCUGUACUGACGCUCAUGCACGAAAGCGUGGGGAGCAAACAGG